rnacentral:rRNA from 1 species
AUACGAAGGGUGCUAGCGUUGUUCGGAAUUACUGGGCGUAAAGAGCAUGUAGGCGGAUAGAUUAGUCAGAGGUGAAAGCCCCGAGCUCAACUCGGGAACUGCCUUUGAUACUGUUUAUCUAGAGACCGAGAGAGGUGAGUGGAAUUCUCAGUGUAGAGGUGAAAUUCGUAGAUAUUGGGAAGAACACCAGUGGCGAAGGCGGCUCACUGGCUCGGAACUGACGCUGAGAUGCGAAAGCGUGGGGAGCGAACAGGAUUAGAAACCCUGGUAGUCC